GACGAACGCUGGCGGCGUGCUUAACACAUGCAAGUCGAACGGAAAGGCCCUGCUUGCAGGGUACUCGAGUGGCGAACAGGUGAGUAACACGUGGGUGAUCUGCCCUGCACUUCGGGAUAAGCCUGGGAAACUGGGUCUAAUACCGGAUAGGAGCCAUUUUUAGUGUGAUGGUUGGAAAGUUUUUUCGGUGUAGGAUGAGCUCGCGGCCUAUCAGCUUGUUGGUGGGGUAAUGGCCUACCAAGGCGGCGACGGGUAGCCGGCCUGAGAGGGUGGACGGCCACAUUGGGACUGAGAUACGGCCCAGACUCCUACGGGAGGCAGCAGUGGGGAAUAUUGCACAAGGGGCGCAAGCCCGAUGCAGCGACGCCGCGUGGGGGAGGACGGCCUUCGGGUUGUAAACUCCUUUCGCUAGGGACGAAGCUUUUUGUGACGGUACCUAGAGAAGAAGCACCGGCUAACUACGUG
rnacentral:rRNA from 1 species